GAUGAACGCUGGCGGCGUGCCUAAUACAUGCAAGUCGAGCGAACGGACGAGAAGCUUGCUUCUCUGAUGUUAGCGGCGGACGGGUGAGUAACACGUGGAUAACCUACCUAUAAGACUGGGAUAACUUCGGGAAACCGUAGCUAAUACCGGAUAAUAUUUUGAACCGCAUGGUUCAAAAGUGAAAGACGGUCUUGCUGUCACUUAUAGAUGGAUCUGCGCUGCAUUAGCUAGUUGGUAAGGUCACGGCUUAGCAAGGCAACGAUGCAUAGCCGACCUGAGAGAGUGAUCGGCCACACUAGAGCUGAGACACGGUCCAGGCUCCUACGGGAGGCAGCAGUAGGGAAUCUGCCGCAGUGGUCGAAAGCAUGACGGAGCAGCGCCGCGUGAGUGGUGAAGGUCUUGGGAGCGUAAAACUCUGUUAUUAGGGAUGAACAUAUGUGUAAGUAACUGUGCACAUCUUGACGGUACCUAAUCAGAAAGCCACGGCUAACUACGUG
rnacentral:rRNA from 1 species